rnacentral:rRNA from 1 species
UACGUAGGGGGCUAGCGUUGUCCGGAAUCAUUGGGCGUAAAGAGCGUGUAGGCGGUCCGGUAAGUCCGUUGUGAAAGUCAAGGGCUCAACCCUUGAAUGCCGGCGGAUACUGUCGGGCUAGAGUCCGGAAGAGGCAAGUGGAAUUCCCGGUGUAGCGGUGAAAUGCGCAGAUAUCGGGAGGAACACCUAUGGCGAAGGCAGCUUGCUGGGACGGUACUGACGCUGAGACGCGAAAGCGUGGGGAGCAGACAGG